rnacentral:rRNA from 1 species
ACCAGACUCCUACGGGAGGCAGCAGUGGGGAAUAUUGCACAAUGGGGGGAACCCUGAUGCAGCGACGCCGCGUGGGUGAAGAAGUCAUUCGUGACGUAAAGCCCUAUCAGCAGGGAAGAAAAUGACGGUACCUGACUAAGAAGCCCCGGCUAACUACGUGCCAGCAGCCGCGGUAAUACGUAGGGGGCAAGCGUUAUCCGGAUUUACUGGGUGUAAAGGGAGCGUAGACGGUUGUGCAAGUCUGAAGUGAAAGCCCGCGGCUCAACUGCGGAACGGCUUUGGAAACUGUGUAACUGGAGUGCUGGGGAGGUAAGCGGAAUUCCUGGGGUAGCGGUGAAAUGCGUAGAGAUCAGGAGGAACACCGGCGGCGAAGGCGGCUUACUGGACAGUAACUGACGUUGAGGCUCGAAAGCGUGGGGAGCAAACAGGAUUAGAUACCCUAGUAC